rnacentral:rRNA from 1 species
AGGGUUUGAUUAUGGCUCAGAUUGAACGCUGGCGGCAGGCCUAACACAUGCAAGUCGAGCGGUAGAGAGGUGCUUGCACCUCUUGAGAGCGGCGGACGGGUGAGUAAUGCCUAGGAAUCUGCCUGGUAGUGGGGGAUAACGCUCGGAAACGGACGCUAAUACCGCAUACGUCCUACGGGAGAAAGCAGGGGACCUUCGGGCCUUGCGCUAUCAGAUGAGCCUAGGUCGGAUUAGCUAGUUGGUGGGGUAAUGGCUCACCAAGGCGACGAUCCGUAACUGGUCUGAGAGGAUGAUCAGUCACACUGGAACUGAGACACGGUCCAGACUCCUACGGGAGGCAGCAGUGGGGAAUAUUGGACAAUGGGCGAAAGCCUGAUCCAGCCAUGCCGCGUGUGUGAAGAAGGUCUUCGGAUUGUAAAGCACUUUAAGUUGGGAGGAAGGGCAUUAACCUAAUACGUUAGUGUUUUGACGUUACCGACAGAAUAAGCACCGGCUAACUCUGUGCCAGCAGCCGCGGUAAUACAGAGGGUGCAAGCGUUAAUCGGAAUUACUGGGCGUAAAGCGCGCGUAGGUGGUUCGUUAAGUUGGAUGUGAAAUCCCCGGGCUCAACCUGGGAACUGCAUUCAAAACUGUCGAGCUAGAGUAUGGUAGAGGGUGGUGGAAUUUCCUGUGUAGCGGUGAAAUGCGUAGAUAUAGGAAGGAACACCAGUGGCGAAGGCGACCACCUGGACUGAUACUGACACUGAGGUGCGAAAGCGUGGGGGAGCAAACAGGAUUAGAUACCCUGGUAGUCCACGCCGUAAACGAUGUCAACUAGCCGUUGGGAGCCUUGAGCUCUUAGUGGCGCAGCUAACGCAUUAAGUUGACCGCCUGGGGAGUACGGCCGCAAGGUUAAAACUCAAAUGAAUUGACGGGGGCCCGCACAAGCGGUGGAGCAUGUGGUUUAAUUCGAAGCAACGCGAAGAACCUUACCAGGCCUUGACAUCCAAUGAACUUUCCAGAGAUGGAUUGGUGCCUUCGGGAACAUUGAGACAGGUGCUGCAUGGCUGUCGUCAGCUCGUGUCGUGAGAUGUUGGGUUAAGUCCCGUAACGAGCGCAACCCUUGUCCUUAGUUACCAGCACGUAAUGGUGGGCACUCUAAGGAGACUGCCGGUGACAAACCGGAGGAAGGUGGGGAUGACGUCAAGUCAUCAUGGCCCUUACGGCCUGGGCUACACACGUGCUACAAUGGUCGGUACAGAGGGUUGCCAAGCCGCGAGGUGGAGCUAAUCCCACAAAACCGAUCGUAGUCCGGAUCGCAGUCUGCAACUCGACUGCGUGAAGUCGGAAUCGCUAGUAAUCGCGAAUCAGAAUGUCGCGGUGAAUACGUUCCCGGGCCUUGUACACACCGCCCGUCACACCAUGGGAGUGGGUUGCACCAGAAGUAGCUAGUCUAACCUUCGGGAGGACGGUUACCACGGUGUGAUUCAUGACUGGGGUGAAGUCGUAACAAGGUAACC